UACGUAGGGGGCAAGCGUUGUCCGGAAUCAUUGGGCGUAAAGAGCGUGUAGGCGGCUCGGUAAGUCCGCUGUGAAAGUCCAGGGCUCAACCCUGGAAAGCCGGUGGAAACUGUCGAGCUCGAGUCCGGAAGAGGCGAGUGGAAUUCCUGGUGUAGCGGUGAAAUGCGCAGAUAUCAGGAGGAACACCCGUGGCGAAGGCGGGUUGCUGGGCUGACACUGACGCUGAUGCGCGAAAGCCAGGGGAGCGAACGGG
rnacentral:rRNA from 1 species